AGGUAGUAAAAAUUUUUAAUUAAAACCUAUAUAUUUUGGCGGCAUUUUAUCCCAUUAGAGGAGCCUGUUUAAUAAUCGACACUCCACGAUAAUUUUUUCUAUAAUUUAUAUCUUAUAUACCUCCGUUUAAGAUUUUAAAUAAAUUUUUUUUCUAAAUAUUAUAUAAAAUAAUAGGUAAAGGUGUAGAAAAUAUUAUAGAUAAAAUGUGCUACAUUAAAAAAUAUUUAAGGAAAAAAGAAAAAAUUUAAAAAUGAAAAAGAAUUUAUUAGUAUUAAAUAAUAUUAUAAAAUAAUAAUUAUCUAUGAAUAGGAUAAUAAAUGUGU
rnacentral:rRNA from 1 species